AUACGUAGGUGACAAGCGUUAUCCGGAUUUACUGGGCGUAAAGGGCGUGUAGGCGGUCUUGCAAGUCAGAAGUGAAAUUCCUGAGCUCAACUCGGGCGCUGCUUCUGAAACUGCAGGACUUGAGUGCUGGAGGGGAUAGCGGAAUUCCUAGGGGAGCGGUAAAAUGCGCAGAUAUUAGGAAGAACACCGGUGGCGAAGGCGGCUAUCUGGACAGUAACUGACGCUGAGGCGCGAAAGCGUGGGGAGCAAACAGGAUUAGAUACCCUGGUAGUCCACACUGUAAACGAUGAAUGCUAGGUGUAAGAGGUAUCGACCCCUUUUGUGCCGGAGUUAACACAAUAAGCAUUCCGCCUGGGGAGUACGGCCGCAAGGUUGAAACUCAAAUGAAUUGACGGGG
rnacentral:rRNA from 1 species